AGACAGUAGGUGGAUGUGUUUUGGACAGUAGGUGGAUGUGUUUUGGACAGUAGGUGGAUGUGUUUUGGACAGUAGGUGGAUGUGUUUUGGACAGUAGGUGGAUGUGUUUUGGACAGUAGGUGGAUGUGUUUUGGACAGUAGGUGGAUGUGUUUUGGGCAGUAGGUGGAUGUGUUUUGGACAGUAGGUGGAUGUGUUUUGGGCAGUAGGUGGAUGUGUUUUGGACAGUAGG